rnacentral:rRNA from 1 species
GACGAACGCUGGCGGCGUGCUUAACACAUGCAAGUCGAACGGAAAGGCCCUUCGGGGUACUCGAGUGGCGAACGGGUGAGUAACACGUGGGUGAUCUGCCCUGCACUUUGGGAUAAGCCUGGGAAACUGGGUCUAAUACCGAAUAGGACCACGCGCUUCAUGGUGUGUGGUGGAAAGCUUUUGCGGUGUGGGAUGGGCCCGCGGCCUAUCAGCUUGUUGGUGGGGUAAUGGCCUACCAAGGCGACGACGGGUAGCCGGCCUGAGAGGGUGACCGGCCACACUGGGACUGAGAUACGGCCCAGACUCCUACGGGAGGCAGCAGUGGGGAAUAUUGCACAAUGGGCGCAAGCCUGAUGCAGCGACGCCGCGUGAGGGAUGACGGCCUUCGGGUUGUAAACCUCUUUCAAUAGGGACGAAGCGCAAGUGACGGUACAUAUAGAAGAAGCACCGGCCAACUACGUG